UGUAAUUUUAGGACCAAAUUCAGAGAAAACAGUCUCAUUUCUAAGAAGAGCAUCUUGAGAGCCUCCAUCAUGUUCUGGAUAAAGCAGCUGACGAAAUAGUAUGCUGAUCCCGUCCCUUGUUGACGAUGAAUUUGCCUUGAGCACUGCGGUUUUGUCAAUUUGGUUGAGCUUGCUGUCCUCUAGGUUUUAUGUACAGAGUUCUUAGAAAUGAAGCAGCUGCAGAAAAGGGACAUCCUGAGGAGAGGUACACCAACGCCUUCCUUGGGCACGGACCAGAGGACUCACAUUUUGUGUAGAGCUCACUUACUCAGAAGUGACGAUAUUGGAUCUGGUUUUGGUCAUUUC